GCGGAUGUGGCGGAAUGGCAGACGCAUCAGACUCAAAAUCUGACGGGGGCGACCUCGUGUGGGUUCAAGUCCCACCAUCCGCA
rnacentral:tRNA from 1 species